UUCCCCUGACUUUCUGCCGUCCUGGAGCGGGGGAAGAGGCUGCCGGCUGUGCAGUGGGAGCUGGGGGUGUUGGAUGUCAGCCUCACUGCUCAGAGCCUCAGCCGCUUCGCCCUUCUCUCUACAGGUGGUGGUGAGGUGUAAUG
ensembl:miRNA